CACUUCCACAGGCCUUUCCCUCUGUAGGAAAAAUGAUUUUUGUUUUAUCAAUUGAAUGACUAAAUCUUAACAUGGCAAUUGUCAAGGUUUCUUCACCCUGCCCAAUAUAUAUCUGAAAAGUUGAAGCGAUGGAGCUCCAUGCAAUCACAUGAUGGGCAGACUGAGGAGAUGUUGACUCAAUCAGAAAAUAUUCAAGAAAACAAAAAGGUCAACUGGAACUUAAAGCAGGCAAUUUCUUGAGUGUGAUUGGAAAGUGGCAGCACAGAUGGUUCAAGAAGACAAGUCAUGGAGAGACUACAAAUAGUUCUGAAGUGACACAGGUCAUAACAAGAACAGCUUGUAGAUCCUAUAGAUCUGAAACAGUGACACUCUCCACCAUGACAAGAUGUUAAAGAGGUAGACAUUUAUGACAGAUGGAUUGAAUUAAAAGUUCCGAGGAGAAGCCGACAAUGAUUAAGACAAGGAUGGAUAGGAAACUAGAUGGAAAGACAGACAUUAACACUGGCUCCCAGACAGGCAGUUCCUCGAAAGAAGCAGUCUUGCCUCCAGCAGAACAUCAGACUACGUCACCACUAACGUAUUUGGUCGUCAUGAUUGCUAUAACUGGAUACUGCUACAGAGAAAAGUGUCAGCUUGACAGUUCUUGUACUUUCAAGGAGAUGCCAAAAUGCAACAGUCAUGUAUGGAUGGACGACUGGAUGGAAAGACAGACAAUGGACUGUGCUCAAUAUCAUCUGUUCACAUGGAGGUUACCUGCAAGCCUGCUGGAUGGAUCGGCCAUAACUUGGGUGGAAUGCUACUCUCCCGUGCAGCCAACAAGGGAUACAGAUAUUGAAGCUUGUUUCACCUUGAUAUGCCAAGAGAGAAAUGCCAUAUUGUGAUAGUCAGCUGUUUGUCAAAACGAAGUUAAAUUGAUAACAUUUGUUUGGUAAUGUUUUUAAUGUUAUGUAAGUUUAUGCGCCGACAGGAGAAAAUAUAAUUUUAUCCUUUGCGCAAUGUUUAAUUGGGAUGUAUACUUUUGUGUCAUGUAUGUGUUUUUGAGUACUUAUUGCAUAUUGCAGUGUCUUGCUGAAGUCAUACUUCAAGUAUCCCAAUAUACUGUGUGAAUAAACAGAUGUGCAAUCCA